rnacentral:tRNA from 1 species
AGCCCCGUAGUGUAGUGGCCAAUCAUCUCAGGUUCUGGACCUGAGGACCGCGGUUCGAAUCCGCGCGGGGCUA